rnacentral:rRNA from 1 species
UAAUACAGAGGGUGCGAGCGUUAAUCGGAAUUACUGGGCGUAAAGCGCGCGUAGGCGGCUUUUCAAGCCGGAUGUGAAAUCCCCGGGCUUAACCUGGGAACUGCAUUCGGGACUGUCUAGCUAGAGUAUGGGAGAGGGAAGUGGAAUUUCAGGUGUAGCGGUGAAAUGCGUAGAUAUCUGAAGGAACAUCAGUGGCGAAAGCGACUUCCUGGACCAAUACUGACGCUCAUGUGCGAAAGCGUGGGGAGCAAACAGG